rnacentral:rRNA from 1 species
GAUCAUUAAACAAUAAGCUGUUCGUCCCCCCCGACGUCCAACUUUUUCAAACACACCUCCGUGUACCUCUCCCCUUUUGCUUCCCCGGGGCCGCCCCAUCCGGGCGCGCCCCGGGGGAGGUCAGGAGGCCGGGUCUGCUCUGCGCGGCCGGGCCCCCCGAAGCUCUUCCACGUUCCGUCUGGAUGUCUGUCUGAACACAACCUAAGAAAUAAUCUUUAAAAAACUUUCAACAACGGAUCUCUUGGUUCUCGCAUCGAUGAAGAACGCAGCGAAAUGCGAUAAGUAGUGUGAAUUGCAGAAUUCCGUGAAUCAUCGAAUCUUUGAACGCACAUUGCGCCCCCUGGUAUUCCGGGGGGCAUGCCCGUUCGAGCGUCAUCAAUACCAACUCAAGCGAGAUUUUGCGAAAUCGCUUGGUCAUGGGUUCGGGGCGCCGCCUUCAGGGGCGGGGCCCCCCUCCCCAAUUCCAUGGAGCGGAGCCCGGUGUUUGGGCGUCGGAAGUAAUAAGCACAUUUCCUCUGACGUUUCCCAGCCGUAUGUCUCCUGCCCGCCAAAGCUCCCAAUUGUCUUCAAGGCAUGACCUCGGAUGGGUAGGGAUACCCGCUGAACUUAAGCAUAUCAAUAAGCGGAGGAAAAGAAACCAACAGGGAUUGCCUCAGUAACUGCGAGUGAAGCGGCAAAAGCUCAAAUUUGAAAUCUGGCCCGUCUCAGGCGGCCCGAGUUGUAAUUUGGAGGGGCAUCUUCAGGGGUGGGCGCCGUCCUAAGUUCCUUGGAACAGGACGUCACAGAGGGUGAGAAUCCCGUGCCUGGGCGGCUGUCCCGCUCCAUGUGAAGUGUCUCCGACGAGUCGAGUUGUUUGGGAAUGCAGCUCAAAAUGGGUGGUAAAUUCCAUCUAAAGCUAAAUAUUGGCGAGAGACCGAUAGCGCACAAGUAGAGUGAUCGAAAGAUGAAAAGCACUUUGAAAAGAGAGUUAAAAAGUACGUGAAAUUGUUGAAAGGGAAGCGCUUGAGACCAGACUCGCCGGACGGCAACCAUCGGUGCUUCUGUGCCGUGCACUUGCCGACCGGCGGGCCAGCAUCGGUUCUGGCGGUGGGAAAAAGGCCCGGGCAAUGUGGCUCCCCUCGGGGAGUGUUAUAGGCCCGGGUGUCAUACCGCCUGCUGGGACCGAGGACCGCGCUCCG